rnacentral:rRNA from 1 species
AACGAACGCUGGCGGCAGGCUUAACACAUGCAAGUCGAACGCGCCCUUCGGGGUGAGUGGCAGACGGGUGAGUAACGCGUGGGAACAUACCCUUCGGAUUGGAAUAACUGGGGGAAACUUCAGCUAAGACCGGAUACGUGCGAGAGCAGAAUGAUUUAUCGCCGAAGGAUUGGCCCGCGUCCGAUUAGCUAGUUGGUGUUGGUAAUGGCUCACCAAGGCGACGAUCGGUAGCUGGCUGAGAGGAUGACCAGCCACAUUGGGACUGAGACACGGCCCAAACUCCUACGGGAGGCAGCAGUGGGGAAUAUUGGACAAUGGGCGCAAGCCUGAUCCAGCCAUGCCGCGUGAGUGAUGACGGCCUUAGGGUUGUAAAGCUCUUUCGCACGCGACGAUAAUGACGGUAGCGUGAGAAGAAGCCCCGGCUAACUUCGUGCCAGCCGCCGCAGUAAC